AAAGCGUGCGUAGGCGGCUUUUUAAGUCGGAUGUGAAAUCCCCGAGCUUAACUUGGGAAUUGCAUUCGAUACUGGGAAGCUAGAGUAUGGGAGAGGAUGGUAGAAUUCCAGGUGUAGCGGUGAAAUGCGUAGAGAUCUGGAGGAAUACCGAUGGCGAAGGCAGCCAUCUGGCCUAAUACUGACGCUGAGGUACGAAAGCAUGGGGAGCAAACAGGAUUAGAUACCCGGGU
rnacentral:rRNA from 1 species